GGCUGGUCCGAUGGUAGUGGGUUAUCAGUGUCACUAAAGUUGGUAUUCAACCCCCCACUGCUAAAUUUGACUGGCUUAAA
rnacentral:Y_RNA from 1 species